GAAGUUUGAUAAGUAUCUGAGUUAGUAGGAGGAAUUAAUGUUGCAUGCUUUUUCUUUUUUUCCAGACAUCUCCAGAAGACAUGGAGAACCUCACCUGGACUGCAUACACCUGCAUCAGAGUGUAGAAUGGAAGACAGCAUUUUGCAGAUUAUCAGUAAGGGUCCCUGGAGGAAUGUCUGCAGGAGAGGACCCAUCAUUGGUGGGCCAUGGUUUCCAGAGUACUCCCUGUCAGCCAGUGGUGUGCCCACCACAAAGCAGCAGGUGCCAGGCAUGAGGGAGGAGGCACUUUGCUGCAAGUCCUCAGAUGACUAUGAUGUCCAUGGAAGACCAAGAAAAAGAUGUUGUUUUCCUAGGUUGGCGAUUGAAAAUUGUGUUCCCUUUCCAAAGGAACAUUCAUCUGGUGUCAUGUCAGAAGAUCUGAAAGGGAUUCGUGUAUUGUGUAUGAGGACUUAGUGGCUGCUAAAUCCUUCUCUGAAGGAGAAGUAACAAUACUGUGCUUUGAGGUGAGACUGAUGAAGGGGGAUGCAUGAAAUGAGUAGUCCUUCUGGAGUCUCUUCUAGACCAUGCAGUCCACAGAGUAUUACGCCAGUGGCAAUAGGAGCCUCACUGAGGACAGCUGGAACUGAACACUAUAUAUGUAAUCCUAAAAGAGUGUUUAAGGGAGAAUCACUCAUCACACCUGAAAAAUGAGGAUAGCUUGUUCUAUUGGUUUUGGCCAGCGAGCCGUGCAGCUGGGCACCACCAGUGCCUUCUCUCAUCUCUGCCUCAGAGGCACUGUUAAUCAGGAUUAUCUUUUUAUGGUUUGAACUGUGUCAUUGGUUCCUAGCCCAAAGACACUGGAGUAGUUUUUAAACCCCACUUAUUUCCUUUGGGAAUCUCCUAAUUGCACACAUGGUCCUUCUUAAAAAUGACAUUUAUUUGCAGAGCAUGCUGUUUUCUUCUGUCUGCUCACAACCCAUAUGUUGCAAAACAAGUAAUAAAAAAUGUUUUAGAAGGCUAUGACUUCCCA
rnacentral:lncRNA from 1 species